UAACCGCUAGUUGUUUUGAGGGAAAGAAAUCCGAAUAAACAUUGCAUAUUUUGAAAAAUCCGAAUAAAGAUGUUCCGGUACCCUACCUCUCCGAAAAAACGGUUGGCUUUCAUCCCGCACUUUCCAUUCCCUACCGACGACGGCCGCCGCCUCCUUCUUCUUCUCCGACUCCGGCCGCCGCCGCCCCGACCCGUCGUCCCCCUCCUCUGGCCGCAGCAGGCGCCACCGGCCCCUCCUCUGGUCUCGGCCGCCGUCCCUCACCUCCAGCGCCGCCCUUCCAGCCCAGCCCUGCACCUCCCUCGUCCCGCACGUCUGCCGGUCGCGACGUUGGCAAAGUCGUGAAUUUGAUUGCAAGGCGCUGUUCAAGGCUGUGCAAACUCGUGGAUUUAAUUGAUUCUGCCGGAUCUUGCGGAUGUGCGAAUCAGGCUUCCCUCAAUUCGGUGCUUGUUAAUUGAUGGCUGAUUUCACGAGACAGAUGCUUUUGUGCUCGUGCUGGUGGACUGGCUGCACUAGAUGGGUCACAGAUGGGCCAGAUAUGAAUAUUCGGGUAUACGAUUCAGACCCAGAUUUGCGGUAUCUGCUAGACAUGCUCUCAUGAUCCCCAAAACAGGUGAGAUUUUCCAUUUGAUUAUGGACUCCAAUUGAUUCAACCACUUCAAUAGGUUCAUAGUCAUAGAUUAAACAAAUUAAAUGGUUCGUAAGGAUCAACCUGCCAUCCAUUUUAGCAACAACAUAGUAAGAUAUCAAAUGGAAUAUACCUUAGAAAAUUACUCCAUGGGUCCACAUGAUGCAUUCUACAGUACAAUAUAGGUAAGUGAAUUGGAUACCACAAACAUUGAUUGGGGUAUGGUUGCCGGCACACAAGAACUUGUACAGUACAUCACAUCGUUUUUCCGUGUUUUUCAUGUAUCAUGUUUCAUUAUUGUUGCGGUCUAAAGGUGCCCAGGGAAAAAACUGUGACAUACAUUUAUUAUUGUGGUGUAAAGAUGUAUUGAGAAAAAGUGGGACUUACAUUUAUUGUUGCGAUGUAAAGGCAUCAUGAGAAUUGAAAGUGGGACUUAUAUUCUAAUAUAAAAGUAUGAAAAUAAAACA